rnacentral:rRNA from 1 species
UACGUAGGUGGCAAGCGUUGUCCGGAUUUACUGGGCGUAAAGAGCGCGCAGGCGGUCGUUCAAGUCGCGUGUGAAAGCCCCCGGCUCAACUGGGGAGGGUCACGCGAUACUGAUCGACUCGAAGGCAGGAGAGGGUAGUGGAAUUCCCGGUGUAGUGGUGAAAUGCGUAGAUAUCGGGAGGAACACCAGUGGCGAAGGCGACUACCUGGCCUGUUCUUGACGCUGAGGCGAGAAAGCUAGGGGAGCAAACGGG